GAAUGUAAUUUAAUGGUAAAAUCUUGAGCUCCAAACUCAAAAAUAUUAGUUCGAUUCUAAUCAUUCCC
rnacentral:tRNA from 1 species